AGUGAACGCUGGCGGUAGGCCUAACACAUGCAAGUCGAACGGCAGCACAGAGGAGCUUGCUCCUUGGGUGGCGAGUGGCGGACGGGUGAGGAAUACAUCGGAAUCUACUCUGUCGUGGGGGAUAACGUAGGGAAACUUACGCUAAUACCGCAUACGACCUACGGGUGAAAGCAGGGGAUCUUCGGACCUUGCGCGAUUGAAUGAGCCGAUGUCGGAUUAGCUAGUUGGCGGGGUAAAGGCCCACCAAGGCGACGAUCCGUAGCUGGUCUGGAGGGAUGAUCAGCCACAGUGGAACGGAGACACGGUCCAGACGCCUACGGGAGGAAGCAGUGGGGAAUAUUGGAAAAUGGGCGCAAGCCUGAUCCAGCCAUACCGCGUGGGUGAAGAAGGCCUUCGGGUUGUAAAGCCCUUUUGUUGGGAAAGAAAUCCAUCUGGUUAAUACCCGGGUGGGAUGACGGUACCCAAAGAAUAAGCACCGGCUAACUUCGUGCCAGCAGCCGCCGUAA
rnacentral:rRNA from 1 species